rnacentral:rRNA from 1 species
UAGGGAAUCUUCCACAAUGGACGCAAGUCUGAUGGAGCAACGCCGCGUGAGUGAAGAAGGUUUUCGGACCGUAAAGCUCUGUUGUUGGUGAAGAAGGAUAGAGGUAGUAACUGGCCUUUAUUUGACGGUAAUCAACCAGAAAGUCACGGCUAACUACGUGCCAGCAGCCGCGGUAAUACGUAGGUGGCAAGCGUUGUCCGGAUUUAUUGGGCGUAAAGCGAGCGCAGGCGGAAGAAUAAGUCUGAUGUGAAAGCCCUCGGCUUAACCGAGGAAUUGCAUCGGAAACUGUUUUCUUGAGUGCAGAAGAGGAGAGUAGAACUCCAUGUGUAGCGGUGGAAUGCGUAGAUAUAUGGAAGAAUACCAGUGGCGAAGGCGGCUCUCUGGUCUGCAACUGACGCUGAGGCUCGAAAGCAUGGGUAGCGAACAGGAUUAGAUACCCCGGUAGUCCAUGCCGUAAACGAUGAGUGCUAAGUGUUGGGAGGCUUCCGCCUCUCAGUGCUGCAGCUAACGCAUUAAGCACUCCGCCUGGGGGAGUACGACCGCAAGGUUGAAA